rnacentral:tRNA from 1 species
GGACCGGGUUCGUAGCUCAGAUGGUAGAGCGCUCGCUUAGCAUGCGAGAGGUACGGGGAUCUAUACCCCGCGCCUCCA